rnacentral:rRNA from 1 species
ACACAUGCAAGUCGAACGCAACCUUCGGGUUGAGUGGCGGACGGGUGAGUAACGCGUGAGAAUCUGCCUUGGGGUCGGGGACAACCACUGGAAACGGUGGCUAAUACCGGAUAAGCCUUUGGGUAAAAAAUUUAUUGCCCCAAGAGGAGCUCGCGUCUGAUUAGCUAGUUGGUGAGGUAGGAGCUCACCAAGGCAGCGAUCAGUAGCUGGUCUGAGAGGACGAUCAGCCACACUGGGACUGAGACACGGCCCAGACUCCUACGGGAGGCAGCAGUGGGGAAUUUUCCGCAAUGGGCGAAAGCCUGACGGAGCAAGACCGCGUGAGGGAGGAAGGCUCUUGGGUUGUAAACCUCUUUUCUCAGGGAAGAAGCUCUGACGGUACCUGAGGAAUCAGCCUCGGCUAACUCCGUGCCAGCAGCCGCGGUAAUACGGAGGAGGCAAGCGUUAUCCGGAAUUAUUGGGCGUAAAGCGUCCGCAGGUGGCGAUUCAAGUCUGCUGUCAAAGCACGGGGCUUAACUCCGUUAAGGCAGUGGAAACUGAAUAGCUAGAGUGCCGUAGGGGUAGAGGGAAUUCCCGGUGUAGCGGUGAAAUGCGUAGAGGUCGGGAAGAACAUCGGUGGCGAAAGCGCUCUACUGGACGGCAACUGACACUCAGGGACGAAAGCUAGGGGAGCGAAUGGGAUUAGAUACCCCAGUAGUCCUAGCUGUAAACGAUGGAUACUAGGUGUAGCUUGUAUCGACCCGAGCUGUGCCGAAGCUAACGCGUUAAGUAUCCCGCCUGGGGAGUACGCACGCAAGUGUGAAACUCAAAGGAAUUGACGGGGGCCCGCACAAGCGGUGGAAUAUGUUGGUUUAAUUCGAUGCAACGCGAAGAACCUUA